UGUUAAGGGCCAACCACUAUCACAUGUCAGC
rnacentral:piRNA from 1 species